rnacentral:rRNA from 1 species
CGGAGGAAAAGAAACCAACAGGGAUUGCCCCAGUAACGGCGAGUGAAGCGGCAAGAGCUCAAAUUUGAAAUCUGGCCCCUCCGGGGUCCGAGUUGUAAUUUGCAGAGGAUGCUUCGGGUACGGCCCCGGUCUAAGUCCCCUGGAACGGGGCGUCAUAGAGGGUGAGAAUCCCGUCUGGGAUCGUCGGCCGUGCCCGUGUGAAGCUCCUUCGACGAGUCGAGUUGUUUGGGAAUGCAGCUCUAAAUGGGUGGUAAAUUUCAUCUAAAGCUAAAUACUGGCCGGAGACCGAUAGCGCACAAGUAGAGUGAUCGAAAGAUGAAAAGCACUUUGAAAAGAGAGUUAAACAGCACGUGAAAUUGUUGAAAGGGAAGCGCUUGCGACCAGACUCGCCCGCGGGGUUCAGCCGGGAUUCGUCCCGGUGUACUUCCCCGCGGUCGGGCCAGCGUCGGUUUGGGCGGCCGGUCAAAGGCCCCGGGAAUGUAUCGCCCUCCGGGGCGUCUUAUAGCCCGGGGUGCAAUGCGGCCUGCCCGGACCGAGGAACGCGCUCCGGCACGGACGCUGGCGUAAUGGUCGUAAGCGGCCCGUCUUGA